UACGUAGGGUGCAAGCGUUAUCCGGAAUUAUUGGGCGUAAAGAGCUCGUAGGCGGUCUGUCGCGUCUGCUGUGAAAACUCAGGGCUUAACCCUGAGCUUGCAGUGGGUACGGGCAGACUAGAGUGCGGUAGGGGAGACUGGAAUUCCUGGUGUAGCGGUGAAAUGCGCAGAUAUCAGGAGGAACACCGAUGGCGAAGGCAGGUCUCUGGGCAUUAACUGACGCUGAGGAGCGAAAGCAUGGGGAGCGAACAGG
rnacentral:rRNA from 1 species